AUCCUUUGGUUCGUAAGCGUGAUGAUGAUUGGGUGUUCAUGCUAUGUGUGAGAUGUGCCUCCCUCUAAACCUUGUUACCACAUCGGCACAUUACCUGUAUGACG
rfam:Ictidomys tridecemlineatus contig072319, whole genome shotgun sequence.